UACAGAGGGGGCAAGCGUUGUUCGGAAUUACUGGGCGUAAAGGGCGCGUAGGCGGCCUGCUAAGUCGAACGUGAAAUCCCCGGGCUCAACCCGGGAACUGCGUCCGAUACUGGCAGGCUUGAAUCCGGGAGAGGGAUGCGGAAUUCCAGGUGUAGCGGUGAAAUGCGUAGAUAUCUGGAGGAACACCGGUGGCGAAGGCGGCAUCCGGGACCGGCAUUGACGCUGAGGCGCGAAAGCCAGGGGAGCAAACGGG
rnacentral:rRNA from 1 species